CACAGUUACCAUUAAGUGACCUUCAGUGUGACCAGUAUUGGGUUGCAUGUAAUGAGACAUGUUACAGUCCAUAAUGGGGGUUAGGUAAACAGUGAAGUUGGGGAAUGUGAGCUAUGAGGAUGCGAGAUGGGACAGGCUGCAGAUGAAGGGAAAUUACUGUUGAACUCUGCUUUCCCUCCUCGCUGGGUAAGAUGGCGCCUGACGCUGACCUGCCCUCCUCCCUCCCUCCUUUUUCUGUCUCUCUCUCCCCCCGUCCCUCUCCCUCCAGCUCUGGGCCAUAAAUCCGUUGUUGUUUAUGAAAAUUUACAACAUAGCCAUACAAGUUUACGACGCGGCCCGGGUUCCCAUUGGCCGCAGCUUGUCACGUGGCUGGGAGCCAUGAACAUGAACUUUUUUUUCUCCUUUUUUAUAUUUAAUUUUCAAUUGCGGGCUAGAGGAGCCUUUCAUUUAACAGUCUCGGGCUUCCACGGGAACCUUUUCACAGGCGACCUUCGUCAUUUUACCAUGUCUCACAUGUACUUUUGGGGAUUUUUCUAAGGGGUGAGGGGUGAGAUGUUAGGCAGAACCUCGACGAGCAAGGAGCUUACAGUAAGACAUGCCUGGAUCACUUGGGUGCCUUGGCGGGCUCCUGAAAGGUAACGGAAAGAUGAGACGAAGGAACCGACCCCCAUGGAGAACCAAGCUUCCGUAAGGGGUCUCAGCCGGGAGACUUUUCCCCGUCACUGCACCUGCCCACUCCCUCCAGUCACCCCCCUGUGUUUACAUGCAGAGACCUUCACAAGGCUGUAAGUGUUACUUGACCGGUACAGACCAGCUCUAUUGCUCAGUCUUGCCUCAGUAUGGACCGGACGUUCUCCAGGAUGGGGACCGCGUCUGUGGAGGCCUUGUUGAUGUGGACAGCGUGGAUCAGCUUUAUGAAGAGCUGCUGCAUCUUCAAGAAACACAGAUAAAGUGUGGAAGUCACCUCGGACGUGGGGAGGAAACUGGGCCUGGACGUGAUGGCUGCCGGCGAGAUGAACGGUCAGAGACUUUUAUAUCAUCUAACAUGCAGUCAGAGAAAAAACAAGAAAUUAUACUUUACGUUUAAUGAUUCCAGAUCUUAUUAUUAUUAUUAUUAUUAUUAUUAUUAUUAUUAUUAUUAUUAUUAUUAUUAUUAUUAUUAUUAUUAUUAUUAUAGGUUUCUUGGUAAUACUGGGCACACUCGACUUUUAUUUAACUGUUACUGUUACAACGCAGAACUGCACUGAAAUCUGUGCAAACUGCUCCUUAUAACGGUUUUAAAUACUUCCAAAUUUAUUCAGAAUUAGAGAAAAAUGCUCAGAUAUAAGUCGUUUUUGUUGUGCAGACUAGUUGGAGCUGACAGGUCUUACUGUACGUGCAGGUUUAAAAUCACAAUGUUUUGUUUUGGCAUCUGGCUGUAAUGCAAGACAGGUGCCUUCACGUGUUUGUCCGCUGUUUGGACGAGCUUUCCCCUGACAUGUAACGCGCAGAGGCUGUUAAGCCACAGAAUGCGUGCAAUUAACACUUAGCAAGUUUGCAACGUGAUAGGAUCGAACAAACAGAGCAGGAAUAGCUUCAGAUCGUUGCCAUGUGCUGGCAAAUAAGGGGAAAAGUGCAAUUUCGAGUUUUUAAUGCAACAGCACUUGCCAAAGGGGGUGUCGUGCAUUUAUACACAUUUGUGCAACUUGAGCAGCCCGUUCUUUUUUUUUUUUUUUUGCAGCUUAUGUGUGAUCUUCUAGGUUUUUAUAGACAAGCAAGCUUUAUGCGCAGGCUUUGAUGCUCGCAUAGAAGCGGCUCGUCAGUGCUGGGUGUAAAGCUUGUGCAUUCACCGUGUCUUUGUCAGUAAUUUGAAGGCUGUUAUAUUACACAACACUACAGUUUGCAUUGCUGUGCUGGCCUUUUCUUUUCUUUUCUUUUUUUUUUUUUAACCCCUCUGCAGUGUUUCUUUAUUAGGAUGCAACAGAUUAAAACUCCAACAACCUCUUUCCCUGUUUGUUGGAAACGGCGUUUUGUUUAUGAAAAAAACCUUAAGGGUUUGAAUUUCAUAUCUACUUUCUGUUUCAGAGGAGGCGGAUUGUUUUAAGCGCAGGAAGCCUCGCCCGCAUAAGUUUGGCCCCGUGCAGUAAACAAGUUAGUUGAUUGGUUUUGCUUUAUAUACCGUGAUUUAAUAAGGAAAACACUAACGUAAGCCAGUCCAAGCAGUGUUGGUGGUACCAGUGCCAUGCUUUCCAUUGGUUCCUGUUUACAUGAUGCCCACAGGACACGCCGUGAUUGGUGGCUCUUCACACGUGACCAGGCAACUUUGUACAUUUGACAGGGAGUAGGAGGGUUUUGUGGAGAUCAGAAAAACGACAGCGCGAUAAAAAUUAGUAUUGUUGCACUUCACAAAUUAAUGACCAUGAGUUCCUACUUGAUAAACUCCAACUAUAUCGAGCCUUCCUUUCCUCCAUGCGACGAAUAUCAGCAGAGCGGAUACAUCCCUAACCCCGGUGAUUAUUACGAGCGGCCAAAAGAUACGGGCUUCCCCCAUCACGAAGAGCCAUCCUAUCCGAGGUCAAACUACACAGAAUCGGGAUACGAUUACGGUAACGUCCCCGCCACCGGACUCGACGAUUUCAGCGAUGGGCAUCACGCACAACCGCAACCGGUUCCACAGAGCCACGGUCCUCGCCUCGCGGCGGCCCCAGACGGUGGCGCAAACGCCAGCAAAGACUGCAGCCUCGCCACUGAAGUCUAUCCCGGCGUAGCGAAGGGCAAGGAGCCGGUGGUCUAUCCUUGGAUGAAAAAGGUCCACGUUAGCAGCGUCAAUGCCAGUUACAAUGGAGGAGUGCCCAAGAGGUCCCGCACUGCCUACACCCGCCAGCAGGCUUUGGAGCUGGAGAAGGAGUUCCACUUCAACCGGUACCUGACCCGGCGCAGGCGGGUGGAGAUUGCUCACACCAUGUGCCUGUCCGAGCGCCAGGUCAAGAUCUGGUUCCAGAACCGGAGGAUGAAAUGGAAAAAGGAGCACAAGCUUCCCAACACUAAGAUCCGCUCCUCAAGCUCGGCCUCAGCUUCAGCCUCGGGGGCCCAGCAGCAGCAGCAGAUCAAAACAGGCCAGCAGCUUGUCCCCACGCCGUGCACCGCAGGUCUAUAGUGCAUGAACGAACCCCCCAUCCCUGAAAACCCCAAUCCAGACUGAGAUGGCAAAUAACACAAGUGGAAUUUGAUGGACCGAUUCUCAGUAUUUUACACACACACAUGGUGUUAUCUCUUUCACCUUGCCUCUGCUAUUGGGCCCCUGUCACGUCCUUUGUGCCCUUACCCCUCUCCCCGGUCGUCCUCGCCCUCAUCAUAUAAGCUUGAAAUUCACCUUUAAUUGCCACGGUGGCAACUGAAGUGUUUAUAUAUUUGUUUAUUAUUAUGAAAGAAGGAUAACGCACAUCAAACUUGGAUGAAAUGUAUAAUUGCAGUUAAAAGUGAGUGAGGUAAAAAAGUAAGUUUGACCUCAUUUUUUCUUUUCAAUGUUCUCUUUGAUAUUUCCUUUCCUUUUCUUUAUUGUUGCUCAUGGAAAAGUUCUAAUAUACUUGAAAGAUAUUUAGCGAGACUCUAUAGAUGCCAGUUAGAAAACCACACGGCAUUUUAUUUCUCAAUUUUUUAAUUUUUAAUUUUUUAUUUUUUUAGAGGCAUGGCAUCAGUCAGAGUAUAGCAGUGUCGUAUGUGUGUGUUCGAGUGGGUUGGUUUACUGUUGAAUGUAGUCCAGGUGACUUUCACAUCUAAUGUACAUAGACAAAUCACAAUGAUGGCACAAUAAGGAAAGCGUUUCGUCAAAGUAAGUUUAUGUUUGUUGGUGUCGUAUGGUCUAGUUUUAUUUGUGCUAUAGUGCGUCCAUGUUGUGCUGUGUUCUAAACUGUGAAUAUUUGUAUAUGUUGUCUCAGUAAUGGCCGUUGUGAUGUAGGCUAGUUUAGAAUAAAUCUGUCCUUGUGAAAUAAAUGUGUGCUUCACUUAUAAGGCUGACAUGGCUUCGGAUGUUUUGUCACCGCAAAUACGGAUUUCACUUUCACGACAUUCAAGGUGCCAAUUUUUUUUUUAAAAACUGAUUCUCAUUUGUUCAUUUAUAUUUUUGUUAUUAUUAUAAUUUUUUUUUUGCAGAAAUUAAAACUUUGAACUAACAUUGUUACUUUUGGUUUACAUUGAAUUUCUAUUCAGUGUGUGGACUAUUGCGCUCUGAAGCUUUUGGUAAGAAAUCCAGCCAUUUGAGAUGCGUACUUAAAGUGGUCACAUUGUGUUGCAGUCCCGAAUAAUUUGCCUUGCAACAUGUUGGCAACAUUGUGGCUGCGUUUUCUUCCACUUUUUAACACUUUGCCAGAGUAGAAAGAAAAUAUUUGCGAUAAAUGUUAUUUACAGAAAGGUUUCAUUUGAUAGUAUUGCGCACCUCCGUUUUAAUACAUUCACGGUUCAUCCGAAAAGACAUUUUCACAUUACGAAUGCGCAAAAUCGCUUUCGAGUGAAACCUAAGAAUUGCAAUGCCAUGCACAAACUUUGACAGAGUGAAGUCUUAUGUCUUUUUGUUACUGCUGAGUGUUCUGAAUGCCGUGCGCGUUUUCGUGGAUUAGGCUGAGCUGUGACAGAGUAUAUUAUGCAGGUAUCAGCUGAUAGCUCCAAAGCUUUAUAGGCUGUACUGACACGGGAAUCAGACCAAACCCAAACUGUUAAAUGUAUCCGGCUACACAUAUUGUUCUUACUUGCCAUUACGCGCUGUUCACCAGAGUGUGAGUGUUGGUCACUACCUGCUACAUCCAAACAAUAGAGAGUUCAGCUGGGGGACACGGCCGGCACUGGCCAAUCACCGGCUCAGAGCACUUCUUCUGACCCUUGACCUUUCGACACACACAAUGUUAAGACCAUAUAUCAGCACCGAGAACUCCAAGAGCUUUUUCUUCUCAUUUACGGGUUACCCAAAGAGGGCGCGGAAACAAAAACUGUGAUUGUAGGUGUGAAUCGGAGGCAUGAGACAGCUCUCCUGCAAAUAAUCACUGAAACGUGCCUGUCAGUGCAUGAAGAAAGGGAGCAGAUAUGAGCAGAAACGGAUAGAUGUUAUUUAGUGUGUUGGCACUGAUGGUUUUAGCCCACUGAAUAUGCCACUAACUGCACACUGGAUGGGUCUGCAACGAAAUAAAUGCAAAAUUAAUUGGAGUUUUUUUUAAUCCUCAGUGUGAAAAAUAGAUAGUUGUACAUUUUCGUGUAUGCUUUGCUUAUUGAAUGUUACCACACACAAUAAAAAAAAUGUGUUCUAUGUUGCCGCAGACAUGCUGAAGCUCCCCAUUACUGUGCAGCAGUUGCUUCAGAUAUGGAAACUGUGCAGGAGAUGACGCUGAGGCUGAUUGGCACCAAUUUUGCGCAGACUCCAAGAAGUCCAAUUCUGCAUAAAUUACAGAUUUCAAGUCAUUUGAGUCGCGAAUAGAGGUCACUUCCAAUGUACUGAAAUUUUAAUUCGCCCGUUCACGUGACUCGCUGAAUAAUGAAUGCCCCGGGGUCAGAAAUAGAUGUGAAAUUCUGACUUAUUUUCAUUUGAAGUGAUCCGCAGGGUGCGAGUCAGAUCUCUUCUCUUCUGACAAAACUCUGUCCGCUGGACACAGACUGGCAUGACUUAAUUCCAGCUUAGUAAAUUCUGGCCAACGGACGGUCUCCCAGACACCUUGAACUGCCUUCGGUUCACCCAAGGAGGCCAUUGGCGGAGAGGCGUCACGUGACCACGGGGUGCCAAUGUUAUUCUACAAGGGUGUCAAGACCCUGUCAG